CGCGGUUAUACAAAGGGCGCGAACUAAUUGGUUUGGCAGGAGUUAGAUUAGUAAUGGGUCUUAUAUUUGGUUUUUAUUAGGUGAAAUUUUAAAACUAUGGAGUGCCCGCUUGAGUUAAUUUAUUUCGUAAAUUUUAAUUUUAAACUAGGAUUAGAUACCCUAUUAUUUUAAUAUGUAUUUUUAUUAUGCCUAGGUAGUAUUAGUUAUGGUCUUGAAACUUAAAAAAUUUGGCGGUAUUUUAGUCUGUUCAGAGGAACCUGUUCUGUAAUCGAUAGUCCACGUUAGAUCUUGCUUAAUCUUGUUUGUCAGUUUGUAUACCGCCGUUAUUGAGUAUUUUAUUAGAAUAAUAAUUUUCAAUUACUUUAUUGGAAGCUUAUAUCAGGUCAAGGUGCAGCUUAUGGUUAAGAUUGAAAUGGGUUACAAUAAAUUUAUUUAUAUGGAUAUUAGGCUUAAAUUCUUGAUUGAAGGUGGAUUUGAUAGUAAAGCUGUUGAGAUGGAUAGUUUGAUUUUGGCUCUAAAAUAUGUACACAUCGCCCGUCACUCUUAUUAUUAAAGUAAGAUAAGUCGUAACAAAGUAGAUGUACUGGAAAGUGUAUCUAGAAAG
rnacentral:rRNA from 1 species